rnacentral:lncRNA from 1 species
GAUUAUCUGUAGAGAGUUCUCAGAAUCCAUUUACCUAAACACUGAAGACGUUAAAAAAACAAGCAGCUUUAUCUUUUUUUUUUGUCAUGCUUAUAAACUCAAGAAUGCUAAACACAGUUAAUUUAAAACAUUAAGUUUUAAUUACAAUUAUAUGGUUAUAGAAAACAAAUUUUCCCAUUUACAUGUGUCUUAAGAAUGUUUCUUCUCAAAUGGAUGAAAGGUUAUAGUUUUAUCAUAACAAUCAACAAUGACAUGACAAGCUUCCAUUUAAUCCAUACACAGAAUCAC